rfam:Triticum urartu cultivar G1812 contig262790, whole genome shotgun sequence.
UUAAUACUCCCUCCGUUCCAAAAUUCUUGUCUUACAUUUGUCUAAAUAUGGAUGUAUCAAGUCAUGUUUUAGAAUAGAUAUAUCCAUAUCUAGACAAAUCUAAGACAAGAAUUUUGGGACGGAGGGAGUAUGAA